UGAGGAAUAUUGGUCAAUGGACGGAAGUCUGAACCAGCCAUGCCGCGUGCAGGAUGACGGCUCUAUGAGUUGUAAACUGCUUUUAUGCUAGGGUAAACUCGGGUACGUGUACCCGACUGAAAGUAUAGCAAGAAUAAGGAUCGGCUAACUCCGUG
rnacentral:rRNA from 1 species